GACGAACGCUGGCGGCGUGCUUAACACAUGCAAGUCGAACGGAAAGGCCCUGCUUUUGUGGGGUGCUCGAGUGGCGAACGGGUGAGUAACACGUGAGUAACCUGCCCUUGACUUUGGGAUAACUUCAGGAAACUGGGGCUAAUACCGGAUAGGAGCUCCUGCUGCAUGGUGGGGGUUGGAAAGUUUCGGCGGUUGGGGAUGGACUCGCGGCUUAUCAGCUUGUUGGUGGGGUAGUGGCUUACCAAGGCUUUGACGGGUAGCCGGCCUGAGAGGGUGACCGGGCACAUUGGGACUGCGAUACGGACCAGAAUCCUACGGGACGCAGCAGUCGGGAAUAUUGCACAAUGGGCGGAAGCCUGAGGCAGAAACGCCGCGUGCGGGAUGCCGUCCUACGGGUUGUAAACCGCUGUCGAAUGUGCCGAAGCGUGAGUGACGGUAAUGGGUCAAGAAGCACCGGCUAACUACGUG
rnacentral:rRNA from 1 species